AGCUGGUUCUCCUCGAAAUAGCUUUAGGGCUAGCCUCAUGGAUCAUUGGUGGGGGUAGAGCACUGAAUGUGCGCGGGGGCCACAAAGCCUACCAAACGCUAUCAAACUUCGAAUACCAUACAAUGCAGACCAUGGGAGUCAGUCCGCGAGAGAUAAGUUCCGCGGGCAAAAGGGGAACACCCCAGAUCAACCGCUAAGGUCCCCAAGUUCACGUUAAGUGGAGAAGGAUGUGGAAUUGCACAGACAACCAGGAUGUUGGCUCAGAAGCAGCCACACAUUUAAAGAGUGCGUAAUAGCUCACUGGUCGAGUGAUUGUGCGCCGAAGAUGUCCGGGGCUAAACGUGACACCGAAGCGAUGGGUGCAUCUGAAAGGAUGCGCGGUAGAGGAGCAAUGUGCAGAGGCAGAAGCCGUAUCGAGAGGCACGGUGGACACUGCACAAGAGAGAAUGCCGGUAUGAGUAGCGAGAGGCAUGCGAGAAACAUGCCCGUCGAAAGCCCAAGGUUUCCUGGGGAAGGUUCAUCCGCCCAGGGUAAGUCGGGGCCUAAGCCGAGGACGGAAGUCGUAGGCGAUGGACAGCAGGUGUAGAUUCCUGCACUACCGAUGGAAUGAAGCAGUGACACAGAAGGAUAACUCGAGCAGGGUGAUGGUCAACCCUGUGCAAGCAUCAAGGUUGGGUUGUAGUGAAGUACGCAACCCUAUAAGCUGAGAUGUGAUGCGGACCGAAAUUUCAGUAGGGAAGCGAGUGAGUUCACGCUGGCGAGAAAAGCUGCUAGUACAUCCAAAGGUACCCGUACCGGAAACCGACGCAGGUGGGCGAGGAGAGAAUCCUGAGACGAACGGGAGAACCCUUGUUAAGGAACUCGGCAAAAUGACCCCGUAACUUCGGGAUAAGGGGUGCCUGCGAGAGCAGGCCGCAGAGAAUAGUCACAAGCGACUGUUUAGCAAAAACACAGGUAUCUGCGAAAGCGAGAGCUGACGUAUAGGUGCUGACACCUGCCCGGUGCUGGAAGGUUAAGGGAACAUGUUAGAGCAAUCGAAGCAUCGAACCGAAGCCCCAGUAAACGGCGGCCGUAACUAUAACGGUCCUAAGGUAGCGAAAUUCCUUGUCGGGUAAGUUCCGACCCGCACGAAUGGUGUAACGACUUGUGAGCUGUCUCAACAGGGGGCCCGGUGAAAUUGAAGUAUGGGUGAAGAUGCCCAUUACCCGCGACUGGACGGAAAGACCCCGUAGAGCUUUACUGCAGCCUGAUAUUGAGUUUCGGUAACUGAUGCACAGGAUAGGUGGGAGUCUGAGAGACAUGGGUUUCGGCUCAUGUGGAGACGAUGUUGGGAUACCACUCUUCGGUUACUGAAAUUCUAACAUAGCUCUGUGAAACCAGAGGAUGGACAGUGUCAGGUGGACAGUUUGACUGGGGCGGUCGCCUCCGAAAGAGUAACGGAGGCGCCCAAAGGUACCCUCAGAAUGGAUGGAAACCAUUCGAAGAGCGCAAAGGCAGAAGGGUGCCUGACUGCGAGAGUGACAACUCGAGCAGAGACGAAAGUCGGGCUUAGUGAUCCGGCGGUAUUGAGUGGAAAAGCCGUCGCUUAACGGAUAAAAGCUACCUCGGGGAUAACAGGCUGAUCUCCC
rnacentral:rRNA from 1 species